rnacentral:tRNA from 1 species
GCAGCCUUAGCUCAGUUGGUAGAGCAUCGGUUUGUGGAGCCGAGGGUCGCUGGUUCAAGCCCAGCAGGCUGUACCA